UCAUUUAUAAAUAGAGAGGGUCUCUACCUAUAGAUGCAUAGCAAAUAAAUCAGAUUGAGAGAAGAGAAAGAGAGAGAGAGAGGCAUGAGAAGAGAAAGAGGACCCUUCUUCUCAUCCUUGGAGUCUCCCCUUGGUGCCACCCCUUUCUCCUUGGUAUGGGGCCCUUCUUGGGCAUCCCCUUUGCUAGUGUGAGGUGUCAUUUCAGCAUCUCUUCUCUCUCAUUUGAUUGGAUUGUGAAGAUGA
rnacentral:lncRNA from 1 species